rnacentral:rRNA from 1 species
AGCAGCCGCGGUAAUUCCAGCUCCAAUAGCGUAUAUUAAAGUUGUUGCAGUUAAAAAGCUCGUAGUUGAAUUUCGGGAUCAAUUAAUUGGUCGUGCCUCUGGUACGUACUGAUUUUAUUGGUUUCUCCCUUCUGACGAACCAUGAUGUCAUUAAUUUGGUGUCGUGGAGAAUCAGGACUGUUACUUUGAAAAAAUUAGAGUGUUUAAAGCAAGCUAACGCUUGAAUACAUUAGUAUGGAAUAAUGAAAUAGGACGUUUGAUCCUAUUUUGUUGGUUUCUAGGAUCGACGUAAUGAUUAAUAGGGAUAGUUGGGGGCAUUAGUAUUCAAUUGUCAGAGGUGAAAUUCUUGGAUUUAUUGAAGACUAACUACUGCGAAAGCAUUUGCCAAGGAUGUUUUCAUUAAUCAAGAACGAAAGUUAGGGGAUCGAAGACGAUCAGAUACCGUCGUAG